rnacentral:rRNA from 1 species
GAUGAACGCUGGCGGCGUGCCUAAUACAUGCAAGUCGAGCGAACGGACGAGAAGCUUGCUUUUCUGAUGUUAGCGGCGGACGGGUGAGUAACACGUGGAUAACCUACCUAUAAGACUGGGAUAACUUCGGGAAACCGGAGCUAAUACCGGAUAAUAUUUUGAACCGCAUGGUUCAAAAGUGAAAGACGGUCUUGCUGUCACUUAUAGAUGGAUCCGCGCUGCAUUAGCUAGUUGGUAAGGUAACGGCUUACCAAGGCAACGAUGCAUAGCCGACCUGAGAGAGUGAUCGGCCACACUGGAACUGAGACACGGUCCAGACUCCUACGGGAGGCAGCAGUAGGGAAUCUUCCGCAAUGGGCGAAAGCCUGACGGAGCAACGCCGCGUGAGUGAUGAAGGUCUUCGGAUCGUAAAACUCUGUUAUUAGGGAAGAACAUAUGUGUAAGUAACUGCGCACAUCUUGACGGUACCUAAUCAGAAAGCCACGGCUAACUACGUG